rnacentral:lncRNA from 1 species
UCCCUGCAUUCUGAUUACCAAGCAUACAAACAAAGCAUUUUUCAUGAUAAACAACCAAGGCAACCAAUAUAUAUAUCAAACAAAUAAACAAAUAAAAAUGAGUUAUUCCUAGAGUCUCAUGGUUGAGCUUUCGUUAGCAUGGCAUAUGUAUGGAAGAAAAAUUAGUUUGCAUUUCAACUUAAGGGAAAACUAUAAAAGCCACUUAGAAAUAUUUGCUUUGUAGAAAUAACAUUGUCUCUAAAUGUUGAUUAACUUUUGUUUCGGUUGAGAAUCGGGCACCUUCUAGGUCAAGAAAAUUGGGCAUGCCCUUUGCUAAUUUUCUUGACCUAGGAGUGCCCCAUUCUCAACCAAAACAGAAAUUAAUGGACAUUUCAGGAGAAAGGGGUAACUAUUUGUCCCUGCACAAAUCGGGUACCCAUUACUAUUUAUCGACAGUGAUUACACUCUCCAGAUCAAGACGCAUUUCAAGGGCAUUGGUGUCCAUGCGGAUAUAAAAUACAUGUCAUCCAUGUCAUCUACAGCCUGCUCAUAUUAUAAUUUCAAGAUGCUGCCCUGCGUAGGUCCAUGGAGCAUUUGCUGGGUUCAGCGGCAUCACUUCCUGCAUCUGCAACACUCACUAUGUGUACCUUCUGGUUACGCAAGUCAAAACGGCGCCGAAGCGUGUGAACCACAAGGGCAGGAUGUGGCAGCAUUGCCUCACGUCCACAAGCGAGCCGGACUUCCGCUGACCACCUAUUGUUAUAGAAUUUGAACUUUAAGUGCUACGGAAUUUUGGCGUUAAGUUUUUGCCUUGUGCAAUCAGUUCAGUUUUUCUCUUUGUGUAAUAAAUUAAGUUGUUCAGUGUUAAGUACUAGAGAAUCUGAGUGCCGUGCUACAUAAUUAGUCGAGCUUUUGCUUGUGCAAUCAGUUCAACUUUUACCUUCUGUAACCCCUGCUCUUUAUUUAUUUUCCUUCCUCAGCCAGUUCUGUUUUCCCGUUUUAAACUGACCGCAUUGUGAUUUUUGUGUGAUCAGUUCAGUCAGAAUUUAGAUGUCCAAUUUUUCCGUUGUCCAAUCAAUGUAGUUCUUCCUUGUAUAACCCGUUCAGUCAUUUAUAAUUUAAACUAAAAUCAUAACUCUUAUUUAUAUGUAAGCUAUGUUUGUCAAGAGGAGGGGCGGGGGUCUAAUUUUUGAUAGCUUUACCAAUAGACCAGCUAUUGUUAGCACGAGAAAUUCAACUUUUACAUGCAAGUAUGGCUUAGAGUUACCUAAAGUCAGUGUGAAGCAAGCACACAAACGCAUAUUAGGGAUGUACAAAAUAUUACCAACACUACAAAAUUAUAGUGUGGACCUUGGACACGGUAGAAUGUUCUAAUCAGCUAUCAGAUUAUACUUGAAUUAUCAUCCUUUUCUUUAAGAAAAAUGUAUAGAAGCUAGGAACAGCAGAUUACCUUCUUGUUUGUUCUACUGUGGAUGCCGAAGCAACUCCAAGCCCUCCAAUUGACAACGUCGAUGCCCUGUUCCAACUGCAAGUUCCAAAGGGAUGGGAUUAGAAUUUUAGUGAGUGUAAAAUGAAUAUGGAGCAGCAAAUCAAAUCAUUAGUUAGUUGUACAUCUAUCAUGGCAUAACACGGAAGGUGGAACCUGAAGAUCAAUCAGCUAAAAUGAAAAAAAGGAAAAACAAUCACUUUAAACGACAACAUUUUAGGCCUGGCCGUUGAAAUCAAAAACAAGCAGCGCAACCGUACCACCAUAUUCCCAAUCAUGAACAAGAUUUGGGACAUCUAGCACGCCAACAACACCACUAGUAGUACCAAUGUGCUGACAAUUUCGGCCGGUAUAAACCAAAACAAGGCUCCUGCUCUCUCAAAUCGCAAGUUACCACCGAGCUUUGGUUUCAGGUCAGGACGGCGCGGAUGAAACAACUUAAUCUCUUCCUUCUCAUAUAUCGCUGACCAUCGCGUGUUUCGCUGCUAACAUGUUUAAACCAGAAACAUUUGCUCGUCCGAAGAAGGAAGAAAUCAGACUACAAUUUGUACGCAUUUGCCCUACAAGCAGUACCACGAACAUCUACCAGGCAAAACCCUUCCGCAUGUGAAUGAACUUGAACAUGCGCCGGUGAAACCACGCAGCAAGCACUCAAUCGGGAAAUAAUCGUCGUUAUAUUCUCUCAAUUAUACCAAAUCUAGAGCGAGGCAGGAAAACAGGAAACGAAACUGAACAAACUGAGGAUGCAGGAGGAGUGAGGGAGGGGGAGGAGGGAAGACGUGGGGAGGAGGGAGGAGGGAGGGGGAGGGGUGGCUGCCUGCCUAUGGACUGGUCGCCGGCGUGGCUCCGGGGAGGGAGGCGCUGGUGGUGGUACGGAGGGAGGGAGGCGCCGCCGGGAUCCUGUACGGGCAACGGGGCCGCGGGGAGCUUCGGCACGCCGCGGCGGAGGGCCGGCCAGGAACGCUAGCUAGUUGUGGCGCUCGGGAUGGGCUCGGGUGGCGGCGGUGGCUUGCAAAGGAGAGACGAGUGAGGGGAGGGAAUGAAAGAAGGGAAGGAGUAGGAUAAUGCCGCGGG